rnacentral:rRNA from 1 species
UGGGGAAUAUUGCACAAUGGAGGGAACUCUGAUGCAGCGACGCCGCGUGAGUGAUGAAGGAAUUCGUUUCGUAAAACUCUGUUCUAUGGGAAGAAAAGGACUGUACCAUAGGAGAAAGCUCCGGCUAAAUACGUGCCAGCAGCCGCGGUAAUACGUAUGGAGCGAGCGUUGACCGGAAUUAUUGGGCGUAAAGGGUGCGCAGGCGGCUUUACAAGUUGGAUGUGAAAUAUUGUGGCUCAACCACAAACGUGCAUCCAAAACUGCAAAGCUUGAGUUAAGGAGAGGUAAGUGGAAUUCCUGGUGUAGCGGUGGAAUGCGUAGAUAUCAGGAGGAAUACCGGUGGCGAAGGCGACUUACUGGACUUAAACUGACGCUCAGGCACGAAAGCGUGGGGAGCAAACAGG